AGGGGGAUAACUACUGGAAACGGUAGCUAAUACCGCAUAACGUCUUCGGACCAAAGUGGGGGACCUUCGGGCCUCACGCCAUCAGAUGUGCCCAGAUGGGAUUAGCUAGUAGGUGGGGUAAUGGCUCACCUAGGCGACGAUCCCUAGCUGGUCUGAGAGGAUGACCAGCCACACUGGAACUGAGACACGGUCCAGACUCCUACGGGAGGCAGCAGUGGGGAAUAUUGCACAAUGGGCGCAAGCCUGAUGCAGCCAUGCCGCGUGUGUGAAGAAGGCCUUCGGGUUGUAAAGCACUUUCAGCGAGGAGGAAGGGUGUGUGUUAAUAGCACAUUGCAUUGACGUUACUCGCAGAAGAAGCACCGGCUAACUCCGUGCCAGCAGCCGCGGUAAUACGGAGGGUGCAAGCGUUAAUCGGAAUUACUGGGCGUAAAGCGCACGCAGGCGGUUUGUUAAGUCAGAUGUGAAAUCCCCGCGCUUAACGUGGGAACUGCAUUUGAAACUGGCAAGCUAGAGUCUUGUAGAGGGGGGUAGAAUUCCAGGUGUAGCGGUGAAAUGCGUA
rnacentral:rRNA from 1 species